rnacentral:misc_RNA from 1 species
GAUGAAGAACGUAGCGAAAUGCGAUAAGUAAUGCGAAUUGCAGAAUUCAGUGAAUCAUCGAAUCUUUGAACGCACAUUGCGCCCGCCAGUAUUCUGGCGGGCAUGCCUGUCUGAGCGUCGUUUCGACCCUCGCGCCCGGCUUCUGUCGGGGGCGGUGUUGGGGAUCGGCCACACCCUUCAGUGGGAGGCCGGCCCCUAAAUUCAGUGGCGACCACGCUGUAGCCUCCCCUGCGUAGUACUAAAACCACCUCGCAGGCGGAGAGCGGUGCGGCCCGCCGUAAAACCCCCCAACUUUUACAAGGUCGACCUCAGAUCAGGUAGGAAUACCCGCUGAACUUAAGCAUAUCAAUCAGCGGAGGA